GACAGAGGCCUCGAGCGUUAGGCGGAAUCACUGGGCUUAAAGCGUGUGUAGGCGGGCCCGUAAGUGUCUUGUGAAAUCCCACGGCUCAACCGUGGAACUGCUGGGCAUACUGCGGGUCUUGGGCCAACUAGGGGCAGCCGGAACAGGCGGUGGAGCGGUGAAAUGCGUAGAUAUCGCUUGGAACGCCGAAGGUGAAAACAGGCUGCUGGGGUUGCGCCGACGCUGAGACACGAAAGCCAGGGGAGCAAACGGG
rnacentral:rRNA from 1 species